rnacentral:rRNA from 1 species
AGUGAACGCUGGCGGUAGGCCUAACACAUGCAAGUCGAACGGCAGCACAGUAAGAGCUUGCUCUUACGGGUGGCGAGUGGCGGACGGGUGAGGAAUACAUCGGAAUCUACUUUUUCGUGGGGGAUAACGUAGGGAAACUUACGCUAAUACCGCAUACGACCUACGGGUGAAAGCAGGGGAUCUUCGGACCUUGCGCGAUUGAAUGAGCCGAUGUCGGAUUAGCUAGUUGGCGGGGUAAAGGCCCACCAAGGCGACGAUCCGUAGCUGGUCUGAGAGGAUGAUCAGCCACACUGGAACUGAGACACGGUCCAGACUCCUACGGGAGGCAGCAGUGGGGAAUAUGGGACAAUGGGCGCAAGCCUGAUCCAGCCAUACCGCGUGGGUGAAGAAGGCCUUCGGGUUGUAAAGCCCUUUUGUUGGGAAAGAAAAGCAGCAGGUUAAUACCCCGCUGUUCUGGCGGUACCCAAAGAAGAAGCACCGGCUAACUUCGU